rnacentral:tRNA from 1 species
GGCAUCUUGGCAGAGUGGUCUAACGCGAUUGACUAGAAAUCAAUUCUCUUCGGAGGCGCAUGUUCGAAUCAUGCAGAUGUCG